rnacentral:rRNA from 1 species
GUCGUACGCUUCUUUUUCCCCGGAGCUUGCUCCACCGGAAAAAGAAGAGUGGCGAACGGGUGAGUAACACGUGGGUAACCUGCCCAUCAGAAGGGGAUAACACUUGGAAACAGGUGCUAAUACCGUAUAACAAUCGAAACCGCAUGGUUUUGAUUUGAAAGGCGCUUUCGGGUGUCGCUGAUGGAUGGACCCGCGGUGCAUUAGCUAGUUGGUGAGGUAACGGCUCACCAAGGCUACGAUGCAUAGCCGACCUGAGAGGGUGAUCGGCCACAUUGGGACUGAGACACGGCCCAAACUCCUACGGGAGGCAGCAGUAGGGAAUCUUCGGCAAUGGACGAAAGUCUGACCGAGCAACGCCGCGUGAGUGAAGAAGGUUUUCGGAUCGUAAAACUCUGUUGUUAGAGAAGAACAAGGAUGAGAGUAACUGUUCAUCCCUUGACGGUAUCUAACCAGAAAGCCACGGCUAACUACGUGCCAGCAGCCGCGGUAAUACGUAGGUGGCAAGCGUUGUCCGGAUUUAUUGGGCGUAAAGCGAGCGCAGGCGGUUUCUUAAGUCUGAUGUGAAAGCCCCCGGCUCAACCGGGGAGGGUCAUUGGAAACUGGGAGACUUGAGUGCAGAAGAGGAGAGUGGAAUUCCAUGUGUAGCGGUGAAAUGCGUAGAUAUAUGGAGGAACACCAGUGGCGAAGGCGGCUCUCUGGUCUGUAACUGACGCUGAGGCUCGAAAGCGUGGGGAGCAAACAGGAUUAGAUACCCUGGUAGUCCACGCCGUAAACGAUGAGUGCUAAGUGUUGGAGGGUUUCCGCCCUUCAGUGCUGCAGCUAACGCAUUAAGCACUCCGCCUGGGGAGUACGACCGCAAGGUUGAAACUCAAAGGAAUUGACGGGGGCCCGCACAAGCGGUGGAGCAUGUGGUUUAAUUCGAAGCAACGCGAAGAACCUUACCAGGUCUUGACAUCCUUUGACCACUCUAGAGAUAGAGCUUCCCCUUCGGGGGCAAAGUGACAGGUGGUGCAUGGUUGUCGUCAGCUCGUGUCGUGAGAUGUUGGGUUAAGUCCCGCAACGAGCGCAACCCUUAUUGUUAGUUGCCAUCAUUCAGUUGGGCACUCUAGCAAGACUGCCGGUGACAAACCGGAGGAAGGUGGGGAUGACGUCAAAUCAUCAUGCCCCUUAUGACCUGGGCUACACACGUGCUACAAUGGGAAGUACAACGAGUCGCGAAGUCGCGAGGCUAAGCUAAUCUCUUAAAGCUUCUCUCAGUUCGGAUUGUAGGCUGCAACUCGCCUACAUGAAGCCGGAAUCGCUAGUAAUCGCGGAUCAGCACGCCGCGGUGAAUACGUUCCCGGGCCUUGUACACACCGCCCGUCACACCACGAGAGUUUGUAACACCCGAAGUCGGUGA